CCUACGAGAGGCUGCAGUGGGGAAUAUUGCACAAUGGGGGACACCCUGAUGCCGCGACGCCGCGUGAGUGAAGAAGUAUUUCGGUAUGUAAAGCUCUAUCAGCAGGGAAGAAAUAGCGACCUUUGGGUCGCCAGACGGUACCUGAUUAAGAAGCACCGGCUAACUACGUGCCAGCAGCCGCGGUAAUACGUAGGGGGCAAGCGUUAUCCGGCUGUACUGGGUGGAAAGGGAGCGUCGACGGCAGCGCAAGUCUGAAGGGAAAUGCCGGGGCUUAACCCCGGAACUGCUUUGGCAACUGUGCAGCUAGAGUGCAGGAGAGGUAAGUGGAAUUCCUAGGGUAGCGGUUAAAUGCGUAGAUAUUAGGAGGAACACCAGUGGCGAAGGCGGCUUACUGGACUGUAACUGACGUUGAGGCUCGAAAGCGUGGGGAGCAAACAGGAUUAGAUACCCCAGUAGUC
rnacentral:rRNA from 1 species